GCUCCGCACAGAUGGGAUUUUUCAAAUGAAAACCAGAUGAAAGUAAACAGCAAUCUCACCAUCAAAACCUAAAGGUGGUCUUCCUUGCCUCUGUCAGUAGAGAAAUGAAAGACAGAGGGCUGAAUCAGCCAGCCAAGUAGGAUGAAAACGGAUGAUGCAGGUUUUAUUUCACAUCGCUUCAGAAAAUGGCAGGAUGAUUCCAACCUUCAUCUCAAGGAUUCUGGACCUCUUAUUGUUUCCACCUGUAUGGGAAAUAUCCUACCGAUGAGGGUGCAGUUUGUCAUAGCGAAGGACAAAACAGAACAGGAGACCAGUCAUCACAAUGUCUCCGAUGCCCAACAUGGAGAAGUGGCUGCCGGUGGAGCUUGGGAAGACCAGUUUUCCAGGCAGAGACAGGCGAGGAACAUCAUGCCCAACAUUGGGCCCCAGGUAGAGCUUCCGGAAUAGAACG
rnacentral:lncRNA from 13 species